UACGAAGGGUGCAAGCGUUACUCGGAAUUACUGGGCGUAAAGCGUGCGUAGGUGGUUUGUUAAGUCUGCUGUGAAAGCCCCGGGCUCAACCUGGGAAUGGCAGUGGAUACUGGCAAGCUAGAGUGCGGUAGAGGGGUGUGGAAUUCCCGGUGUAGCGGUGAAAUGCGUAGAGAUCGGGAGGAACACCAGUGGCGAAGGCGGCACCCUGGACCAGCACUGACACUGAUGCACGAAAGCUAGGGGAGCAAACAGG
rnacentral:rRNA from 1 species